UACAGAGGUGGCAAGCGUUGUUCGGAAUUACUGGGCGUAAAGGGCGCGUAGGCGGUCUUGUAAGUCUUGUGUGAAAUCCCUCGGCUCAACUGAGGAACUGCACGGGAUACUGCGAGACUUGAGUUCGGGAGAGGGAAGCGGAAUUCCGGGUGUAGCGGUGAAAUGCGUAGAUAUCGGGAGGAACACCAGUGGCGAAGGCGAUCACCUGGGGUUGUUCUGACGCUGAGGAGCGAAAGCUAGGGGAGCAAACGGG
rnacentral:rRNA from 1 species